GCGCGUGCAAGUUUGCAUUUCUGCACCAACCCGGAUUCUGGCACCCCGUAGGCGCGCGAUACAUUUUCAGUGAAGAAGAAAAACAAAAACAAAGGGAAGGUGCCGGGCCACAGUUUGCAAGACUUCCAUUUUGUCAUGGCUGUAAGAAAGAGGAGGAAGAAGAGAUAACCAUGAGAACAGAACCGAUAUUAGGAAUUUGGCCCCAGGAAAGAAGUUUCCAGGGAAAGGCGUAGAGUCCACAGAUAUUCUGCACCACCCUCCCUGACCAGAAGGUGUUGUAUGUGGAAGGCGGAUGGGUGAGCCGGUUGGGGGUCUGUACAGCAUUCAUAUUUUGUAGAUUUUAAAAGAGAAAGAAAACAAGACGUGACUGGAGAAUCUGACAUUAUUUAACACCUGAGAAAAACCGUCACUGUGAACCAUCAGAUGAGGACAAAGCAGCCAAAUUUGGACAAAGACACCAAAUACUGUGUCUUUUUUAAAAGGUGCAGGGAAAAUAAAUAAACAAACAAACAAAUGAGUAAAGGUGCAGGGAAACCCAGCAACGUAGGAACCGUGGCUGUUUCUGAGUGUUUGGUGUUAGCUUUCGGGGUAUUUUCUGCGGUUUUCAAAUUUUCUACCAUGAACA